CGCAGAUGAUGUAAUUUAAUAUUUGCUAUCUGAACACUGUGAUUACACACUUCCACCAAGAUCGCUGAUGCA